GGAAGAGUGUCAGAGUGGUCUAUCGUGCAUCCUUGGAAAGGAUGUGUAGGUUUAUCCCUACCGGAGGUUCGAAUCCUCUCUCUUCCGCCA
rnacentral:tRNA from 1 species